AGAGUUUGAUCAUGGCUCAGAUUGAACGCUGGCGGUAUGCUUAACACAUGCAAGUCGAACGGUAACAGUCCCUCACCUAGAAAUUUCUUAAAAAGAGAUUUGUAGGUGAGGGAGCUGACGAGUGGCGGACGGGUGCGUAAUGUAUAGGAAUCUGCCCGGUAGUGGGGGACAACUCGGAGAAAUUCGAGCUAAUACCGCAUAAGCCCUACGGGGGAAAACGGGGGAUCUUCGGACCUCGUGCUAUUAGAUGAGCCUAUAUUAGAUUAGCUUGUUGGUGAGGUAAUGGCUUACCAAGGCGACGAUCUAUAGCUGGUCUGAGAGGAUGAUCAGCCACACUGGGACUGAGACACGGCCCAGACUCCUACGGGAGGCAGCAGUGGGGAAUAUUGGACAAUGGGCGAAAGCCUGAUCCAGCAAUACCGCGUGUGUGAAGAAGGCCUGAGGGUUGUAAAGCACUUUCAAUUGGGAGGAAUACCUAAUAGUUAAUAGCUAUUAGAUUGAC
rnacentral:rRNA from 1 species